UACGAAGGGGCUAGCGUUGUUCGGAAUCACUGGGCGUAAAGCGCACGUAGGCGGAUCUUUAAGUCAGAGGUGAAAUCCCAAGGCUCAACCUUGGAACUGCCUUUGAUACUGGGGAUCUUGAGUCCGGGAGAGGUGAGUGGAACUGCGAGUGUAGAGGUGAAAUUCGUAGAUAUUCGCAAGAACACCAGUGGCGAAGGCGGCUCACUGGCCCGGUACUGACGCUGAGGUGCGAAAGCGGUGGGGAGCAAACAGG
rnacentral:rRNA from 1 species